rnacentral:lncRNA from 1 species
UCGUUGUUUUGGAACAGGUGAUUGCUGGAUUCAUAUCUUCCUUGGUCAUGCUUCUGGCUGCACCAACGUAUGGCCUCGCCGGGAUUUGGACGGGUUUGUUCAUCUUCAUGGCGUUGCGGUUAGUUGCCGGAGCCUGGAGGUAACGAAACAAACAGACCACUCUAGUUUUCAAUUACUUUAAAACAACUUAUCUGUAAGGAUUGUUGCUGUCAUGUUUUUUUUUUCAGAUUGGGGACAAGAACCGGUCCAUGGAAAAUGUUGUGGUUAGCUCCAGAUAAGCCAUAAUAAGUCCGCUUGUAAUAUUUUUUUUGCGGUAUGAAAUGUGAGUCUUUAAGAAAAUGAAAAUAAAGUGAACUAACAAUGUAAAAGCUAUAGUUCUACAGUUUAGUUGAUGCUAGAACCUGAAACACUCUAGAUACGGAUUGAACCCUACGAACUUUCUCCAACUCUUCCUUCUCCUUCGUACAUUUACUUAACGUCGGUUCCAUUGGGCCAGCUGCUCUUCUUCGCUUACGAGAGGAUUCUACAGAAGCAGAGGAGCUCUGUUUUAAACCGUUAUCCUCUUUUUCUAUCGCUUUACACAGAAACAGAUUUGCCCUUUGUAUUUUAUUUAGCCUGG